ACGCUAGCUACAGGCUUAACACAUGCAAGUCGAGGGGAAACGGCAUUUAGUGCUUGCACUGAAUGGACGUCGACCGGCGCACGGGUGAGUAACGCGUAUCCAACCUUCCCAUUACUGUGGGAUAACCUGCCGAAAGGCAGACUAAUACCGCAUAGUCUUCGAUGACGGCAUCAGAUUUGAAGUAAAGAUUUAUCGGUAAUGGAUGGGGAUGCGUCUGAUUAGCUUGUUGGCGGGGUAACGGCCCACCAAGGCAACGAUCAGUAGGGGUUCUGAGAGGAAGGUCCCCCACAUUGGAACUGAGACACGGUCCAAACUCCUACGGGAGGCAGCAGUGAGGAAUAUUGGUCAAUGGGCGAGAGCCUGAACCAGCCAAGUAGCGUGCAGGAUGACGGCCCUAUGGGUUGUAAACUGCUUUUGUAUGGGGAUAAAGUCAAUCACGUGUGAUUGUUUGCAGGUACCAUACGAAUAAGGACCGGCUAAUUCCGUGCCAGCAGCCGCGGUAAUACGGAAGGUCCGGGCGUUAUCCGGAUUUAUUGGGUUUAAAGGGAGCGUAGGCCGGAGAUUAAGUGUGUUGUGAAAUGUAGACGCUCAACGUCUGACUUGCAGCGCAUACUGGUUUCCUUGAGUACGCACAACGUUGGCGGAAUUCGUCGUGUAGCGGUGAAAUGCUUAGAUAUGACGAAGAACUCCGAUUGCGAAGGCAGCUGACGGGAGCGCAACUGACGCUUAAGCUCGAAGGUGCGGGUAUCGAACAGGAUUAGAUACCCUGGUAGUCCGCACAGUAAACGAUGGAUGCCCGCUGUUGGUACCUGGUAUCAGCGGCUAAGCGAAAGCAUUAAGCAUCCCACCUGGGGAGUACGCCGGCAACGGUGAAACUCAAAGGAAUUGACGGGGGCCCGCACAAGCGGAG
rnacentral:rRNA from 1 species